rnacentral:rRNA from 1 species
UGAAUACGAGAUGCUACGGCGUCGAAGCAGUGUAUGUCAGACUUCCAAGAAAAGCUCGCAAUGUCAUAAAUAAAGAAUGCCUGUACCAUAACCGACACAGGUGGGUAGGUAGAGUAUACUAAGGGGCGCGAGAUUACUCUCUCUAAGGAACUCGGCAAAAUAACUCCGUAACUUCGGGAGAAGGAGUGCCUUCUUGAAGAAGGUUGCAAUAACAAGAUCCAAGCAACUGUUUAUCAAAAACACAGGUCUCCGCUAAGUCGAAAGACAAUGUAUGGGGGCUGACGCCUGCCCAGUGCCAGAAGGUUAAAGAAGCUGGUUAGCAAUAGCGAAGCUGGUGACUGAAGCCCUGGUGAACGGCGGCCGUAACGAUAACGGUCCUAAGGUAGCGAAAUUCCUUGUCGGGUAAGUUCCGACCCGCACGAAAGGCGUAAUGAUUUGGAUACUGUCUCGGAGAGGGACUCGGUGAAAUAGACUUGUCUGUGAAGAUGCGGACUACCUGCACCAGGACAGAAAGACCCUAUGAAGCUUUACUGUAACUUGAAAUUGAAAUUGGACUUUAUUUGCGCAGUAUAGGUGGAAGGCGUUGAGAUUACUCUUGCGGGAUUAGUGGAGCCAUCAGUGAGAUACCACUCCUAUAAUGUUAGAUUUCUAACUUUGGAUCAUAAUCUGGUCAAAGAACAGUUUCAGGCGGGCAGUUUGACUGGGGCGGUCGCCUCCCAAAUGGUAACGGAGGCGUACAAAGGUUUCCUCUGAACGGGUAGAAAUCGUAUCUAGAGUGUAAAGGCAUAAGGAAGCUUGACUGUGAGACCUACAAGUCGAGCAGGGACGAAAGUCGGUCUUAGUGAUCUGACGGUGCUGAGUGGAAAGGCCGUCACUCAACGGAUAAAAGUUACUCUAAGGAUAACAGGCUGAUCUCCCCCAAGAGUUCACAUCGACGGGGAGGUUUGGCACCUCGAUGUCGGCUCAUCGCAUCCUGGGGCGGUAGUACGUCCCAAGGGUUGGGCUGUUCGCCCAUGAAAGCGGUACGCGAGCUGGGUUCAGAACGUCGUGAGACAGUUCGGUCCAUAUCCGGUGUAGGCGUUAGAAUAUUGAGAGGAGCCUUCUUUAGUACGAGAGGGCCGAGAAGGACAUACCUCUGGUGUACCAGUUAUCGUGCCAACGGUAAACGCUGGGUAGCUAUGUAUGGAGAGGAUAACCGCUGAAAGCAUCUAAGUGGGAAGCCCACCUCAAGAUGAG